rnacentral:rRNA from 1 species
CCUACGGGGGGCUGCAGUGAGGAAUAUUGGUCAAUGGACGAGAGUCUGAACCAGCCAAGUAGCGUGAAGGAUGACUGCCCUAUGGGUUGUAAACCUCUUUUAUAGGGGAAUAAAAUGUGCCACGUGUGGGAUGUUGUAUGGACCAUAUGAAUAAGGAUCGGCUACCUCCGUGCCAGCAGCCGCGGUAAUACGGAGGAACCGAGCGUUAUCCGGAUUUAUUGGGGUUAAAGGGAGCGUAGGUGGAUUGUUAAGGCAGUUGUGCAAGUUUGCGGCUCCACCGUAAAAUUGCAGUUGAAACUGGCAGUCUUGAGUACAGUAGAGGUGGGCGGAAUUCGUGGUGUAGCUGUGAAAUGCUUAGAUAUCACGCAGAACUCCGAUUGCGAAGGCAGUUCACUGGACUGCAACUGACACUGAGGCUCGAAAGUGUGGGUAUCAAACAGGAUUAGAUACCCCUGUAGUC